rnacentral:rRNA from 1 species
GAUGAACGCUGGCGGCGUGCCUAAUACAUGCAAGCCGAGCGAACGGACGAGAAGCUUGCUUUUCUGAUGUUAGCGGCGGACGGGUGAGUAACACGUGGAUAACCUACCUAUAAGACUGGGAUAACUUCGGGAAACCGGAGCUAAUACCGGAUAAUAUUUUGAACCGCAUGGUUCAAAAGUGAAAGACGGUCUUGCUGUCACUUAUAGAUGGAUCCGCGCUGCAUUAGCUAGUUGGUAAGGUAACGGCUUACCAAGGCAACGAUGCAUAGCCGACCUGAGAGGGUGAUCGGCCACACUGGAACUGAGACACGGUCCAGACUCCUACGGGAGGCAGCAGUAGGGAAUCUUCCGCAAUGGGCGAAAGCCUGACGGAGCAACGCCGCGUGAGUGAUGAAGGCCUUCGGAUCGUAAAACUCUGUUAUUAGGGAAGAACAUAUGUGUAAGUAACUGUGCACAUCUUGACGGUACCUAAUCAGAAAGCCACGGCUAACUACGUG